rnacentral:rRNA from 1 species
AUUGAACGCUGGCGGCAGGCUUAACACAUGCAAGUCGAGCGGAGCGAGGGUGCUUGCACCUUAGCUUAGCGGCGGACGGGUGAGUAAUGCUUAGGAAUCUGCCUAUUAGUGGGGGACAACAUUCCGAAAGGGAUGCUAAUACCGCAUACGCCCUACGGGGGAAAGCAGGGGAUCUUCGGACCUUGCGCUAAUAGAUGAGCCUAAGUCGGAUUAGCUAGUUGGUGGGGUAAAGGCCUACCAAGGCGACGAUCUGUAGCGGGUCUGAGAGGAUGAUCCGCCACACUGGGACUGAGACACGGCCCAGACUCCUACGGGAGGCAGCAGUGGGGAAUAUUGGACAAUGGGGGGAACCCUGAUCCAGCCAUGCCGCGUGUGUGAAGAAGGCCUUUUGGUUGUAAAGCACUUUAAGCGAGGAGGAGGCGCUCUAGGCUAAUACCCUAGAUGCGUGGACGUUACUCGCAGAAUAAGCACCGGCUAACUCUGUGCCAGCAGCCGCAGUAAGAC